rnacentral:rRNA from 1 species
AUGAACCCAUCCUCGGCUCCGGGUCCUGAUGGGCUACCUUUGAAGUUCUUCCAGAACUUCUGGGAGGUGAUCAAACCUGAGGUGAUGGCACUAUUUGACGAGUUCUUCGUCGGGUCCAUCGACCUCGCCCGGCUCAACUUUGGUGUAAUCACCCUCAUCCCCAAAGUGGCCGGGGCCUCGGAGAUCCGCCAAUUCCGCCCGAGUAUGGUGAUUAACGUCAUCUUCCGCAUCCUCGCAAAGGGGUACGCCAUUAGGGUGGCCCCUAUUGCCGACCGGAUCACUUACCCGAAUCAGUCAGCCUUCAUCCAGGGCCGUUAUAUCCUUGACGGAGUCCUGGUGUUUCACGAAGCUCUCCAUGAGGUUCACUCCAAACACCUCAAGGUUGUCUUCCUGAAACUAGACUUCCACAAGGCGUAUGACACGGUUAGUUGGUCUUUCCUUCGGGAAUGUCUUCUCCGAAAGGGCUUCGAUGAUCAGUGGGUGACUAGGGUG